UCUCUGGCAAUCCAGUGGUUAAGACUCUGAGCUUUCAGUUCAGGGGGCACAGGUUCAAUCCCUGGUCAGAGAA
rnacentral:tRNA from 1 species